rnacentral:rRNA from 1 species
UACGGGGGGGGGGCAAGCGUUGUUCGGAAUUACUGGGCGUAAAGGGCUCGUAGGCGGCCAACUAAGUCAGACGUGAAAUCCCUCGGCUUAACCGGGGAACUGCAUCUGAUACUGGAUGGCUUGAGUUCGGGAGAGGGAUGCGGAAUUCCAGGUGUAGCGGUGAAAUGCGUAGAUAUCUGGAGGAACACCGGUGGCGAAGGCGGCAUCCUGGACCGACACUGACGCUGAGGAGCGAAAGCCAGGGAGCAAAGCGGG